GGAAGGCCUGUAGCUCAGUGGUAGAGCCACCUGCCUUGCACGCUGAAAGUCGCAGGUUCAAUCCCUGGUGUCUCCA